ensembl:lncRNA
AGUGGUCGCUCGCGCCUGCCUCUCUGUAGGAUUCGGCCAACAUGUUCGAAGACUGGGACCCCCGGCAUGAGCUCGGCGACAGCGACGAGGAGGAGGAGGAGGAGGAGGAGGGCGUCGGCGACCCCUCCCGGGCGGGGGAUACCGAGGAGGCCCGUGGGGCCGAGGGGGGCCUGACCGGCCCAGGAGGCCGCCGGGCUCAGGAUGCGGUCUCUUGCCUCCCGCUGUGGAAGCGGGUCCAGGCUUCCCAGAGUUGCCAGCAGCACCUUUUGGGUCCCUACACCCUCCGGGAUCCACAGGCCCCAGGUGGGUUGGCAGGAAGCCGCGCUUCUUGGGCCUCCCGAAGGCCACCUGGCCAGCUGCUCAGGCCGCCUGGAGGAAACCUGGCUGCACGGGAAGGCGGCUGUCUGGCGUCUGCCUCUAAGGGGGCAGCGUAGGACCAGAGGCGGCAGUGCUGAGCACCCCAGCUGCGCCUGGACCAGCUCAGAAGGGCAUNCCGUCGCUCCAGGACUCUGCUCCUGCCUCGGGGAAGAGGGAUUGAGGGGGCCGUGGCCCCUGCGGGCAGGGAGAGCCGGGCCGGAGCGGAAUGGGUCCUUUGAGAUUUCCACCCACCCAGGCGGCCCCUGGUGGCCAAGGGUCGUGGCUGCACGCGUGCCCAGACGCCUUUCUCCCAUGCCGGCCUGCAGGAGCCCUGAGCGGCAACGGAGCCGAGGACAUUCCCUGGAGAAAGGACACCCUGCUCUGGGGCCGACCUCCGGCGCACUGGGUGCAGGACNUCCGGGCCAUCUGCGCGCAAAAGUGGCGCGAGGGGCAGCACCUUUGCCUCAUGAUGACUGCAGCGGGUUCUUCUCAGACCCACUGAUGCCACCAGGACACCAGAUCUGCCAUGGACCAUCUGGCAGCCCUCAGCAGGUCCUCCACCGGCUGUGCCUCGACCCGCCCCCUCCCAUUAUGUCUGUCCGUGAAUCUGGGCCCCCUCGCGAGCUCCAUGCCAGGGGUCAGGGGCUGUCUGCCACAGACUGCAAGGAGGGCUCGCCUCUUUGGGGCCAGGGCAUUGCCCCCCUCUUCCCAAGAGAAGCAGAACCGGACAAAUGGACCGAAGCCCUCGACCUGCGCCUGUCUGCGUCGAGGAACAGGUGCUCUCCGUGCCUGUCCACGGCUGGGGGCCCGGGGGAGAAAGCGCCCGCCCCCUCUCCUGGCGAGGGCACGGGGACCCACACGCCGGAGGAAGGAGCGAGUGGCUCCGGGCAAAGGGGCGCCCCGCUCCUCGCCUCGAGGUGAGGAGGGCUGGGAACGGAGCCACGGUGGCAGCUGCAAAGACCUGGGCUGCGAGGGGAACCNGUGCUGGGGGGCCGUCAGGCGAGGGAAGCAGAGAAGCUGGAGCCGCCCGGUGAGGGCACGAAGCGCCCGCCACAGGCUCCACGCAGGAGGAGGAGGAGGGUGUUGCUCCAUCCUGUGGACAGUUGGUUUGAUGGUGUUUUUGUUCAGAGGGGAGCAGCACUGCGGCCUUCCCUGGGAAGGGGCGGGGAGGCAGGGAGGACUCCACAGAAAAGGCCUCUGGGCCAGUUCUGCCCCCCCCCCACUGCUGCAGUUGAGUUCUUGGUCAGUAAGUUCAGUUGAUUUUGUUGCUGUUGACUUUUUAUUCGUCUUCGUUGUUGUGGCCUUAAAUAUAAAACAGUUGCAAAGAGUU